UCCAAGGGUGAAUCUAUGGUGUGAACACAGCAUCUCUCUCAAGUCAGGCAGGGUGAACAGAGCUGUCCUACGAUCAGCCCACAGCUCCUCCUCCUUCUUUAUUAGUGAUUUAAUAAUGACUAAUAAAAUUGUUUAACAGUGGUACAAUUCCACAAAGUUUCCUCCACCAGAGUUCCAUAUCCCAUCCCCUCAAUUGGAAGCCUCCCUAGUCUUUAUCUCUCUGGGAGAAUGGACCAAAAUUCUUUCUCUUUUCUUUUCUUUUCUUUUCUUUUCUUUUCUUUUCUUUUCUUUUCUUUUCUUUCCUUUCCUUUCCUUUCCUUUCCUUUUCUUUUCUUCCCUCUCCUCUCCUCUUUUUUCUUUUCUUUUCUUUUCUUUUCUUUUCUCUUUCCUUUCCUUUCCUUUUCUUUUUUCUUUAUUUUUUUUACCAGAGCACUGCUCAGGUCUGGCUUAUGGUGGUAUGGGGGGCUGAACCUAGGAAUUUGGAGCCUCACGCAUGAGAGUCUCUUUGCAUAACCAUUAUGCUUUCUAUCCCUGACUGGACUAAAAGUCUUGAUAGGGUGCAGAAGGUGGAAGGUCUGGCUUCAGUAAUUGCUUUUCCACUGGACAUGGACAUUGGCAGGUGGAUCCAUAACCCCGGCCUAUUUCUGUCUUUUCCUAGUGGGGCAGGACUCUGCAGAGGUGAGGUUCUGGGACACAUUGGUGAGGUCAUCUGCUCUCUCCUCUAUCUUCUGACCUGACCCUCCUGGGCCUCCCUCCCUUCUUCCUUGACCCUCCCCCCAGCAGGAUUCUUGGUCCUCAAAAUGUACUGUUCUUACCUGACACCUGCAGUUAAAUUAAUCUCAAAUUAAGCUUGACAGAGCUGCUAAAAGAGAAACAGUUGUCUGUUGCAGGACCGAGCUGCAUAUCGAAAACAGCUGCUUGCCAUGCAUGGCUUUUUUAAAAAAGGAGGAACCGCUACAAAGUGUUUGAAAACACACAUCAGCCAGGUCUUGGGAAGGCCUGUAAUUAACACAGUGACAGAUUCCUAACAGUCGGAAGAGAGCACUGUGUUUGGGAGGUGCACACCCACUCCUGAAGGCCAGCCAACGUCUGCAUCUGUGUGAAGGCUGCCACCUAGGAGAGGAGGAGGAUGGUUACUCUGCACACAGACCCUCCCCCGUUGGGGCGUCCUUAAGGCAGGGGCUUUGGAAGUCCCAGGCAGAAGCAGCAGGAGGAGGCCCCGACUGGCCUCUGGCCUCUGGAGCAGAAAUGUGGGGAGCCUUUGAAGUUACCACAACUCAGGUGGAAGCCCCUCAGAGCAGCCUGAAGAGGAAGUCAUUCGUUUUCAAACAAAGGGGAACAUUCCUCGGGCCCCUGGUGUUUCCACUAAAGCAGACCUCUGAAAAGUUAGUCUCCAGAGGCUCCCGGAGCAGCUGUUCUCCAUCUCCACAAGGCAGGACUCCACACCCUCCUCCUGCAGACCGGCUGCAAUCUGAGCCCUCAGACCCAGGAAGUACCUUGCAAAGGAAAGUUGUAUAUCUCAAAGUUCAGUCCAUCUAACUUGGUCAAGGAAGGUUCUCAGAGAUGGGACAAUCAGAUGGAGAAUCUCUCUGGCUUCUUCUGACAUUAAGUUCAGGUUUGAGGGUUGAGUGGGUCCUAUUUAGAAAUUGGGUAGACAGGCUCAGUAACAAAAACUUGAAUGCAUCCUGCAUACAGUGGCCAUGGUGGAGAGAGGCAGGGCUGGCACCCUGUCACUGAACUCAUAAACUCAAGUGAAACAGAAUGGCUUGCUCCAUUGAGAGAGCGAGAUUCAUAUCCUGAUGGAGUGAUUGUCACCAGGACUCUUGUUCAGAGUCUCAGUUUCCUCAUCUUGAAACCAUGUGACCUCACAGCACUGUUGUAAGAAUCAUGUGAAGCACAGUGCUUGGUGUAUAGUAGAUGUUCAAUAAAUGAUAGUUUGUUUGUUUUUUUGGUCAUCAUCUAGAGGAUAAUCCAGAGGAAUAAAAAAUAUCUUAAGUCUC